UGGGGAAUUUUGCACAAUGGGGGAAACCCUGAUGCAGCGACGCCGCGUGAUUUAGAAGGCCUUCGGGUUGUAAAAAUCUUUUUUACGGGAUGAAAAUGACAGUACCGUAAGAAUAAGGUCCGGCUAAAUACGUGCCAGCAGCCGCGGUAAUACGUAUGGACCGAGCGUUGUCCGGAAUCAUUGGGCGUAAAGGGUACGUAGGCGGCCUAGUAAGUUAGAAGUUAAAGAAUAUAGCUCAACUAUAUAAAGCUUUUAAAACUGCUCAUCUUGAGAUAUGGAAGGGAAAGUGGAAUUCCUAGUGUAGCGGUGAAAUGCGCAGAUAUUAGGAGGAAUACCGGUGGCGAAGGCGACUUUCUGGCCAUAAUCUGACGCUGAGGUACGAAAGCGUGGGUAGCAAACAGG
rnacentral:rRNA from 1 species